CUUCUGGGCUCAAUGAAACGACUUGUUGUUUAAAAGUGCAGGAAGACAGAUGUGUGCCCCAGGCUUUCCUCAGUAUUAGAGAUCUGCAGGUUGACCCUCAUCUUUAUCAGAGACUUUUAAGGGAUUGUAAGGGAGGGAGAGAUAUACCAACAAACAGGAACUGUGACCCAAACUGUCAGCCAUGGCAGGACAACAGCACGCUGUAAUCCAUAUGAGGGAGGAGGGUACAGAAACACAGAUGGCAGAGCAAGCUGUGGACAGGAAUUGUGCAGGAAGAAUAAAGAUGGUCCUGGGAACAGCAGGGUUAGGACUGGUGCUGGGAGCAGCGGGAGGGUAUCCUCUGGGCACCACAACAUCAGCAGUAGAGAGGGCAAUGAAAUCUUUAAUAACGCAUCCACUGAUUGCAAACACAACGGAAACAGAAAAAAAUGAAGAUGUACCACUAGUGGCUUUAGUUGGAUCAGUUGGGUUUCUGACAGGGCUCCUUUUAGCAGUAGCAUGUCUAAUGACAGGAAUAACUUUUGGACAAUUAGCAGCUUCUACAGUGCUGAGGAUGAAAGGACCUGAAGCAAGGGGGAAAGCUCUGGCAGCAGCUGGCCCUGUAGCACUGCUGGGAGUUACAGCUACUGGAGCUGCUCUGGGAGCCGCCACAGAGAAAACUAUCUCAGCAGCAGGAGCUGCAGGACUACUGGUGGGACUUAUGGGUUUUAUAUUUGUAAUUCUUGCAUUGUAUGAAAUGUCACUGCGAUUACUCAAAACAAUUACUCAGACUGAAGGUCGGUGCAUUGUUUGGGUCCCACUCAUUACCGUGGUAUUUAUUGCAU